rnacentral:lncRNA from 1 species
CAAGGACCAGCUGGAGACAAAGGGGUGUUAGUUUCGGGGUGGGGGCUGUGAGACAAGCAAGGCUCUAGUGAGAUGUUCCAAAGUCUGGCCUGCCAUGGACAGCUGCCACCCGAGCUGCAGGCCUGGAAUGUUGUCACAAGCUCAGCGAGCCAUGCUGUCUGCCUCAGCCCAGGACCCGGAAAGACUGAUGAGACAAGAAAGGCCUUGGGCUUCCUCUUGCCUCCUGCAUCUUUAGCCUUCCCUGAACUGCCCUGGCAACUUAGCAGUUUUUCCUCUGGAAUGUUAGAAGAGUCACUCCCAGGACCUAUAAGAGGAAGUGAACCCAGGCAGCUUAAGGUAUAGUCUGUGGUGAGUACUAUAAUAUGCCUCCAGAUUCCUCUUUACUAAUUAAGGACGUACUCCCCCAGCUUCUAGAAGUACUGAUGAAAGAGUCUUCAGCUGUAAACUUCUCCUGAGAGAUUGCCUUUACUAAAAAAGCUGUCUCACCCCAAAUCACACUUCUUUCAGGGAAGUCCACAUCUGGUGACUGAUCAUCCAGAGGUUAUAAAGUCCUGGCACCCUUACCUUAACUGGGCAAACUCUAAAGAACCAUCCCAGCUCCAGAGCUCUUCACGUGGUCAUCUUAGGUCUCUGUUGAGACUGCAUCACAGCUUAACUUCUCCCUCUGCCCAAUCAUGGUUGGUUUUUUUUUUCCUUUUCUUCUACAGGUUUUGAUCCCAGGAGUGCCACCUAAUAAACAUCUUACCUGUAAAUCACUAUCUCAUGGUUGCCUCUCAGAGAACUUAAGCUGUAUCAAAUAUUAUAUACUGAUACUAUAACUGAAACCAUAACUAUCAUGAAUUUAUAUAUAUACAUUGUCUUACUCUUCUCAUACUGCUAAUAAAGACAUGACCUAGACUGGGUAAUUUAUAAAGGAAAGAGGUUUAACUGACUCACACAGUUCUACAUGGCUAGGGAGGUCUCACAAUCAUGGCAGAAGCUGAGGGAGAAGCAAAGUCAUGUCUUACAUGGCAGCAGUCAAGAGAAUUUGUGCAGGGGACCUCCCGUUUAUAAAACCAUCAGAUCAUGAGAUGUAUUCACUACCAUGAGAACAGUAUGGGGGAAACUCCCCCCAUGGUUCAAUUAUCUCUCCCUGGCCCUGCCCUUGACAUGUGGAGACUAUCACAAUUCAAGAUGAGAUUUGGGCGGGGACACAGCCAAACCAUUUAUAAAUUUAUAAAAUAAAUGCUGAUAGAAUUACAUGAAGGAAUUUAGAAGUAUACAAUACUUGUGUAAAGAUUUUAACACCUAUUUUAGAAACUGAUAGAUCAG